rnacentral:rRNA from 1 species
GCGAAUGACCAUGCCACGUUGAAAGCGCCGGUAUUCGUCUGGUCACCGCAGUUAAGCAACGUUGAGCACGGUCAGUACUUGCAUGGGUGACCACCUGGGAACACUGGCUCCUAAAAACC